GAUGAACGCUGGCGGCGUGCCUAAUACAUGCAAGUCGAGCGAACAGACGAGGAGCUUGCUCCUCUGACGUUAGCGGCGGACGGGUGAGUAACACGUGGAUAACCUACCUAUAAGACUGGGAUAACUUCGGGAAACCGGAGCUAAUACCGGAUAAUAUAUUGAACCGCAUGGUUCAAUAGUGAAAGACGGUUUUGCUGUCACUUAUAGAUGGAUCCGCGCCGCAUUAGCUAGUUGGUAAGGUAACGGCUUACCAAGGCAACGAUGCGUAGCCGACCUGAGAGGGUGAUCGGCCACCCUGGAACUGAGACACGGUCCAGACUCCUACGGGAGGCAGCAGUAGGGAAUCUUCCGCAAUGGGGGAAAGCCUGACGGAGCAACGCCGCGUGAGUGAUGAAGGUCUUCGGAUCGUAAAACUCUGUUGUUAGGGAAGAACAAAUGUGUAAGUAACUAUGCACGUCUUGACGGUACCUAAUCAGAAAGCCACGGCUAACUACGUG
rnacentral:rRNA from 1 species